GUUAGGAAUAUUGGACAAUGGGCGCAAGCCCGAUCCAGCCAUGCCGCGUGAGUGAUGAAGGCCUUCGGGUUGUAAAGCUCUUUAGCCGAUGAUUAUAAUGACUGUAGUCGGAAAAUAAGCCCCGGCUAACUUCGUGCCAGCAGCCGCGGUAAUACGAAGGGGGCGAGCGUUAUUCGGAAUCACUGGGCGUAAAGCGUGCGUAGGCGGCUUUGCAAGUUGGGAGUGAAAGCCCAGGGCUCAACCCUGGAAUUGCUCUAAAAACUGCAAGGCUCGAAUUCGGGAGAGGAUAGCGGAAUUGUCAGUGUAGCAGUGAAAUGCGUAGAUAUUGACAGGAACACCAGUGGCGUAAGCGGCUAUCUGGACCGAUAUUGACGCUGAGGCACGAAAGCGUGGGGAUCAAACAGGAUUAGAAACCCGAGUAGUCC
rnacentral:rRNA from 1 species